rnacentral:misc_RNA from 1 species
AAGUCGUAACAAGGUUUCCGUAGGUGAACCUGCGGAAGGAUCAUUAGAAAAUUUUGGAUUUUUUUCAAAUCCUUUACCCACCUGUGCACUGUUUAAAUGUCUAUACUUUCCUGGUUCUGUAAGCUUGAAGAUUAAUCUGAAAGCUUUUUGAUGUGGUUCAUGAAUUUGUCUGAAGAUUAAUUCAGAUUGAUGUUGAACUGCAAUCAGACCAGGGAAGUUUUUCAAACUCUAAUAUUUUUACCUAGUCUGAGAAAAUAUCCACUUGGAUACUUUGAGAAUUUUGAAAUACAACUUUCAACAAUGGAUCUCUUGGCUCUC